rnacentral:rRNA from 1 species
AUUGAACACUGGCGGCAGGCUUAACACAUGCAAGUCGAGCGGUAGCACAGGGGGGCUUGCUCCCUGGGUGACGAGCGGCGGACGGGUGAGUAAUGUCUGGGAAACUGCCUGAUGGAGGGGGAUAACUACUGGAAACGGUAGCUAAUACCGCAUAACGUCGCAAGACCAAAGAGGGGGACCUUCGGGCCUCUUGCCAUCAGAUGUGCCCAGAUGGGAUUAGCUAGUAGGUGGGGUAAUGGCUCACCUAGGCGACGAUCCCUAGCUGGUCUGAGAGGAUGACCAGCCACACUGGAACUGAGACACGGUCCAGACUCCUACGGGAGGCAGCAGUGGGGAAUAUUGCACAAUGGGCGCAAGCCUGAUGCAGCCAUGCCGCGUGUGUGAAGAAGGCCUUCGGGUUGUAAAGCACUUUCAGCGAGGAGGAAGGUGGUGAGCUUAAUACGUUCAUCAAUUGACGUUACUCGCAGAAGAAGCACCGGCUAACUCCGUG